rnacentral:rRNA from 1 species
GUGGGGAAUCUUGCGCAAUGGGCGAAAGCCUGACGCAGCCAUGCCGCGUGAAUGAUGAAGGUCUUAGGAUUGUAAAAUUCUUUCACCGGGGACGAUAAUGACGGUACCCGGAGAAGAAGCUCCGGCUAACUUCGUGCCAGCAGCCGCGGUAAUACGAAGGGGGCUAGCGUUGCUCGGAAUUACUGGGCGUAUAGGGCGCGUAGGCGGACAGCUUAGUCAGAGGUGAAAGCCCAGGGCUCAACCUUGGAAUUGCCUUUGAUACUGGCUGUCUGGAGUUUGGGAGAGGUGAGUGGAACUCCGAGUGUAGAGGUGAAAUUCGUAGAUAUUCGGAAGAACACCAGUGGCGAAGGCGACUCACUGGCCCAAUACUGACGCUGAGGCGCGAAAGCGUGGGGAGCAAACAGGAUUAGAAACCCUUGUAGUCC